rnacentral:rRNA from 3 species
GGGUUGUGAGGUUAAGCGACUAAGCGUACACGGUGGAUGCCCUGGCAGUCAGAGGCGAUGAAGGGCGUGCUAAUCUGCGAUAAGCGCCGGUAAGGUGAUAUGAACCGUUAUAACCGGCGAUACCCGAAUGGGGAAACCCAGUGUGAUUCGUCACACUAUCAUUAACUGAAUCCAUAGGUUAAUGAGGCGAACCGGGGGAACUGAAACAUCUAAGUACCCCGAGGAAAAGAAAUCAACCGAGAUUCCCCCAGUAGCGGCGAGCGAACGGGGAGGAGCCCAGAGCCUGAAUCAGCAUGUGUGUUAGUGGAAGCGUCUGGAAAGGCGCGCGAUACAGGGUGACAGCCCCGUACACAAAAGCGCAUGUGCUGUGAGCUCGAUGAGUAGGGCGGGACACGUGGUAUCCUGUCUGAAUAUGGGGGGACCAUCCUCCAAGGCUAAAUACUCCUGACUGACCGAUAGUGAACCAGUACCGUGAGGGAAAGGCGAAAAGAACCCCGGCGAGGGGAGUGAAAAAGAACCUGAAACCGUGUACGUACAAGCAGUGGGAGCACCCUUCGGGGUGUGACUGCGUACCUUUUGUAUAAUGGGUCAGCGACUUAUAUUCUGUAGCAAGGUUAACCGAAUAGGGGAGCCGGAGGGAAACCGAGUCUUAAU